GAGAAUAUAGCUCAGUAGGUAGAGCAACUGCCUUUUAAGCAGUGGGUCGGUGGUUCGAGUCCACCUAUUCUCA
rnacentral:tRNA from 1 species